rnacentral:rRNA from 1 species
AGCGAACGCUGGCGGCAGGCUUAACACAUGCAAGUCGAGCGGGCAUAGCAAUAUGUCAGCGGCAGACGGGUGAGUAACGCGUGGGAACGUACCUUUUGGUUCGGAACAACUGAGGGAAACUUCAGCUAAUACCGGAUAAGCCCUUACGGGGAAAGAUUUAUCGCCGAAAGAUCGGCCCGCGUCUGAUUAGCUAGUUGGUGAGGUAAUGGCUCACCAAGGCGACGAUCAGUAGCUGGUCUGAGAGGAUGAUCAGCCACAUUGGGACUGAGACACUGCCCAAACGCCUACGGGGGGCAGCAGUGGGGAAUAUUGGUCGAUGGGCGCAAGCCUGAGCCAGCCAUGCCGCGUGAGUGAUGAAGGCCCUCGGGUUGUAAAUCUCUUUUGUGAGGGAAGAUAAUGACGGUACCGCAAGAAUAAGCCCCGGCUAACUUCGUGCCAGCCGCCGCAGUAAAAC